AGUCUCUCCUCCUCUCCCUCUCUCUUUCUCCUCCCUCCUGCUUUCAGUGUCCUCCAUCUCUCCGCUUCCUCUCAUUUUCUUAUAUUAAAGGACAUUUUCACUUCCAGAGACUGCUGCAGUUCCUCCUCCAUCUGUUGUUCUUGUAAUCUCUAAAGAGCUGUUGGAGAGUGAAGCAGCACAGAGCUGACCUUAUAAAGACUCUUCCUGACCAGACCACACCUCUGUCCCCGAGUCCAUGGAAGCCAAGGCCAAGUCCGGGGCUCCAGCACCCAAGGCGGCAACUAAAGCGGAGAAGAAGGAGCCGGCGGCCCCACGCAAGGCUGACCCUGCCCCUGUAGCCCCUGAGCCCGAGCAACCUCCUCCCCAGGAUGGGGCAGCAGAAGGUGAAGCAGCAGCAGGUGACGAGGCUGCGGCCUCCGGCACAGACUCACUGGAGCACCUGAAACCCUUCUUCAUCGGUGGUGCCGUCAUUGCUGCAGGAGCCAUCUUGCUGGGAGUGUUGCUACUGGCGAGGAGAAAUUAAAAACCAAAUCAUUCUCUCAGAUUGGUUGAUGAGUUAGAGCGUUGUUGCUGAGCGGUUCACAGACUAUUAUGGUAUGAUGUGGGAUGGGGCACGGGGAGCCACUGUGCAUCUUAUGGUUUGUUUUGUUUUUUUUGGCCUGCUUUCACUUGUAGUGAAUCAAACCAUUCAAGUUUUGAUAAAGGCUGUAUAUGGAGCAUAAUUACACAUAAUAUAUGCAUGAAGUUGCUUCAAUACUAGAUCUGAACUGUAAUUCUUUACACUGUAGUACUGGGCUUAAACGCCUAAACUCUGUAAAGGUAGCUUAUUCAACUGCUUUAUCUUGUUUAAUCCCAUUUGCACAAAUAUUAACAUAAGCUUGCAACAUUUGUACAUUCUUGCUCCGGAAAUCAGCUUGGUUCACUUUGCAAAAAAGAUUCCUAGUGUUGAAACUUAUAGAUAUUAAUACUGGCUAUCAGAGUUGUUCUAGGUUUCAUUUUACUUUUAAAUAAGACAAUUGAAAGAGUAUAGGCCUGAAAGCAGAUGGAAAUAUGCAUUGUGAUGUAUUGCACAUAUUUUGGCGAAAAUCAAGUGAAGGGAUUCAGUUCAGAGAGAAGGAAUCUCUGCAUAUCCAAACAAAAAAAAAAAAUGCCAAAGAGAACUUCAGAGUGGAAUUUAAAAAAAGUAGACUUUCUGAGAGAUAUGAAAUAUAAGCGUGCAGUGGUUUAGAAAUGUAGGGGGUUGUAGGAGAUAGAACAUGUACAGUAUGUGUCAGAGAAUAGUAGUGGAGUUACCUCUUGCUGUAGAAUAAGAAAGAGUUUUACUUUACUGUCAAAUGAUGUCACAAAUCAAUAACAUUUCAUGAGUCACACAACAUCCACAGUCGUUCUGGUUCAAUCUAUUUAUGUCUUACAAUAGAUACUUAGGUAUAGCAGGCUGAACAGCCAUUAGUGUUGCAUUAUCAGGUUUAUAGCCAAAACAUAGGCGUUGUUUAUGUCUUCACUGUGCUCCCCUUAUGUGGCUUUAGGAAAAAUCUCAUUCAUAACUAUGUACAACUUUAAUGUAAUGAGAGCAGCCUAGGUUGCUAAUAUGAAAGUGGGGUGUAGAUGAACUACUGUUGUAUAGUUUAUUCAAAAGCAUUCACAUUCAUUUGUUGCAGCAAACACUCACCUGUACAGCUAUAUAUGUAAAGCUCAUGGGGACGUCCCUGUUGCAUAAGUAGAUAGCAGAAAGACAGUUCUGAUACACACCAUUAUUUGAUUUCAGUUGUGAAUUUUACAACACAUUAAUGGCCAAAAAAAUUGUAAGAACAUACCUCAUUUACCACAGUCAACACCCAAAAACACAUCCAAAAUACGGUAUGCCAACACCAAAACAAACUUCACCUAACAUUGUACAAUACAGUGUACCAAAAAAAAAAAGAGAAAUCCUAUUUUCAUAAUUUCAACAGCGUAUAAAUGCAAUAAUUCAGAUAGGACUCCUCAUUUAGCACAUGUGCUGUAGCAAGUUAAAUUAAAUAAACGAUGAUGUAAUGAUAUUGUUGGUGAUGAUGAUGUUAGUGAUGGCAAAGACGGUGAUGUUACAGAUGAUGAUGAUGGUAAUGAUGAUAUUUUUCAUGGCGGCUGUAAUGAUGGUUAUGAUAUAUUUUUGAUAUAUUUCUAACAUAUUUUCCUUAUGCACACUCCCCUCUGCCCCCAAACUCCUAAAUGUAAAAAAGAAAGAGGUCGUAAUCCAACCUUUAUUAAAGACAGUGAACCAGC